rnacentral:lncRNA from 1 species
UGAUUUUUUGAUCCGAGAUGGUGAUCUAGUUGAACUCGAUGAGAACAAUGAAGAUCCGAUCAUCUGUGUGGAUGCGAUACAGAGGGCUGACUCUGAUAAGUGGAUGGAAGCCAUGAAAUCCAAAAUGGAGUCCAUGAAAGUCAAUAAUGUAUGGACAUUGGUUCACCCACCUAAAGAGAUAAAACCCAUAUGAUGUAAGUAGAU